AUUAAAUUUUUUUUUAAUAUACACUCAUAUCACCAUUAUAUAUAUUCAUACUUUUUUUCUUCAGCUAAGAGCUACAACAAUCUCAGAUAUUAAAAAGACUUGCUCAAUAUAGUGAAUAAAAUCAUAAGCCUUUUCACCGAUUCUACCGACAACCAUAAUUUUCCCCUCCUCUAUUUGUUGCCUAGAGUUGCAGAAAUUUAUCAAACAAAUUUCAAAUUUGGCUUUGAAAAUUCUUGGUCUUCAAUUAAGAACAAUGAUUGAUAAGGAAGUCGUUGAAUUAACUUCUAAAACAAAGAUGGAGCAUAUGACAUCAUCCAAGGGUUAUUUGGAGACACGUUGUGCAGUGCGCAAGUUUUGUAAUAUUGUGGAAAAAUUUGAUGAUGCCAAGAUCAAGAAUGUUAAAGAUCUUGGAUUUGGUGGGCUUUUAGACAUUCAGAGUCAAAAUUUAAAAAAGGGCUUUUUACAACAACAACCAACUUUUUCAUUUGGUUAUCUUUUAUACGGAGCAUAAUUUCACAUCACAAAACUACUUUACGCGGAGUGAAUAUUAUCUUUUUUAACCUUGGUAUAAAUAGAAAGAAAAUAGAUGUCACAACUCUUUCAUUUGAUUUCUGCUUCAAUUUCUCUCUCAAAAAUUAUCGAUCUCUUCUUACUCCUCUCUUCUUCGUCUGCGAUCCGCCUAUGUCUUUCUGCAAUAUCCAAUUUUAUGGAGGUUAAAUAGAUUAUCAUCGGAAACAAUUUCAAGCUAUUCAAUCUCUGAAAUGGCAGUGGAAUGGUAGCGUUUGGGUUGGUGGUGCGACGACAUUCCGCCUGGUGGUUGUGCGACGACGGGUUGUGUUGUGGCUGACGGCGGCGGUUAUUGGGCAAACGAUGGCGGUGUUCAACAUGAUAGUGACGGCGUCGAAGAAGAAGAAGACUAGAGAGCCAAAGGAGGACAACAAAGUUGAUUAUAUGGAGGCAUACCACUCUUAAAUAUUGUCUAAUGACUAUGAAAAAUAGAUAUAAUGAGAAGGACAUCAACUUUUGCACAAAAAAUUAGAAAUUUAUGGUGUGAUGUAAAGUAGUAUAAUUUUUCUAGUGUGAUUUUUUAUCUUAAUUUAA